GACGUACGGAUCUCGACGACUCGA
rnacentral:piRNA from 2 species